rnacentral:ncRNA from 1 species
UCUUAAACACGUUCCUUGCCUCCCCGGGCCCGGCUGACCCAGACAGGAGGCUGAAUAAUCCGUAAGGAGCAAAUCGAUG